AGAGUUUGAUCCUGGCUCAGGAUGAACGCUAGCGGCAGGCCUAAUACAUGCAAGUCGAACGGUGAUAGCAAUAUCAUAGUGGCGCACGGGUGCGUAACACGUAUGCAACCUACCUUAUACUGAGGGAUAGCCUUUCGAAAGGGAGAUUAAUACCUCAUAACACAUUGAACUGGCAUCAGUUUAUUGUUAAAGAUUUAUUGGUAUAAGAUGGGCAUGCGUCCAAUUAGUUAGUUGGCGAGGUAACGGCUCACCAAGACGAUGAUUGGUAGGGGAACUGAGAGGUUAAUCCCCCACACUGGCACUGAGAUACGGGCCAGACUCCUACGGGAGGCAGCAGUAGGGAAUAUUGGGCAAUGGAGGCAACUCUGACCCAGCCAUGCCGCGUGCAGGAAGAAGGCGUUAUGCGUUGUAAACUGCUUUUAUAUAGGAAGAAAUAGACCUUGCGAGGUAAGUUGACGGUACUAUAUGAAUAAGCACCGGCUAACUCCGUGCCAGCAGCCGCGGUAAUACGGAGGGUGCAAGCGUUGUCCGGAUUUAUUGGGUUUAAAGGGUGCGUAGGCGGUUUAUUAAGUCAGUGGUGAAAGACGGUCGCUCAACGAUUGCAGUGCCAUUGAUACUGGUAGACUUGAGUGGGAUUGAGGUAGCUGGAAUGGAU
rnacentral:rRNA from 1 species